rnacentral:rRNA from 1 species
GACGAACGCUGGCGGCGUGCUUAACACAUGCAAGUCGAACGGAAAGGCCCUGCUUUUGUGGGGUGCUCGAGUGGCGAACGGGUGAGUAACACGUGAGUAACCUGCCCUUGACUUUGGGAUAACUUCAGGAAACUGGGGCUAAUACCGGAUAGGAGCUCCUGCUGCAUGGUGGGGGUUGGAAAGUUUCGGCGGUUGGGGAUGGACUCGCGGCUUAUCAGCUUGUUGGUGGGGUAGUGGCUUACCAAGGCUUUGACGGGUAGCCGGCAUGAGAGGGUGACCGGCCACAUUGGGACGGAGAUACGGCCCAGACUCCUACGGGAGGCAGCAGUGGGGAAUAUUGCACAAUGGGCGGAAGCCUGAUGAAGCAACGCCGCGUGCGGGAUGACGGCCUUCGGGUUGUAAACCGCUUUCGCAUGUGACGAAGCGUGAGUGACGGUAAUGGGUAAAGAAGCACCGGCUAACUACGUG